AGAGUUUGAUCAUGGCUCAGGACGAACGCUGGCGGCGUGCUUAACACAUGCAAGUCGAACGGAAAGGCCCUUCGGGGUACUCGAGUGGCGAACGGGUGAGUAACACGUGGGUGAUCUGCCCUGCACUUUGGGAUAAGCCUGGGAAACUGGGUCUAAUACCGAAUAUGACCGCGCGCUUCAUGGUGUGUGGUGGAAAGCUUUUGCGGUGUGGGAUGGGCCCGCGGCCUAUCAGCUUGUUGGUGGGGUAAUGGCCUACCAAGGCGACGACGGGUAGCCGGCCUGAGAGGGUGACCGGCCACACUGGGACUGAGAUACGGCCCAGACUCCUACGGGAGGCAGCAGUGGGGAAUAUUGCACAAUGGGCGCAAGCCUGAUGCAGCGACGCCGCGUGAGGGAUGACGGCCUUCGGGUUGUAAACCUCUUUCACCAGGGACGAAGCGCAAGUGACGGUACCUGGAGAAGAAGCACCGGCCAACUACGUGCCAGCAGCCGCGGUAAUACGUAGGGUGCGAGCGUUGUCCGGAAUUACUGGGCGUAAAGAGCUCGUAGGUGGUUUGUCGCGUUGUUCGUGAAAACUCACAGCUUAACUGUGGGCGUGCGGGCGAUACGGGCAGACUAGAGUACUGCAGGGGAGACUGGAAUUCCUGGUGUAGCGGUGGAAUGCGCAGAUAUCAGGAGGAACACCGGUGGCGAAGGCGGGUCUCUGGGCAGUAACUGACGCUGAGGAGCGAAAGCGUGGGGAGCGUACAGGAUUAGAUACCCUGGUAGUCCAA
rnacentral:rRNA from 1 species